AGAGUUUGAUCCUGGCUCAGGAUGAACGCUAGCGACAGGCUUAACACAUGCAAGUCGAGGGGCAGCGGGGGCGUAGCAAUAUGCCUGCCGGCGACCGGCGCACGGGUGAGUAACACGUAUGUAACCUGCCCUAUGCAGGGGGAUAACCCGGAGAAAUCCGGCCUAAUACCGCGUAACACCUUUUGGGAGCAUUCCCGGGAGGUUAAAGGAGAGAUCCGGCAUAGGAUGGACAUGCGUCGCAUUAGGUAGACGGCGGGGUAACGGCCCACCGUGCCGACGAUGCGUAGGGGUUCUGAGAGGAAGGCCCCCCACACUGGUACUGAGACACGGACCAGACUCCUACGGGAGGCAGCAGUGAGGAAUAUUGGUCAAUGGCCGAGAGGCUGAACCAGCCAAGUCGCGUGAGGGAAGAAUGUCCUAAGGAUUGUAAACCUCUUUUGUCGGGGAGCAAAAAGGCUCUGCGGAGUCGUAUUGAGAGUACCCGAAGAAAAAGCAUCGGCUAACUCCGUGCCAGCAGCCGCGGUAAUACGGAGGAUGCGAGCGUUAUCCGGAUUUAUUGGGUUUAAAGGGUGCGCAGGCGGCGUGUCAAGCAAGCGGUAAAAUAGCGGGGCUCAACCCCGUCGAGCCGUUUGAACUGGCGCGCUUGAGUUCAGGCGAGGUAGGCGGAAUUCGUGGUGUAGCGGUGAAAUGCAUAGAUAUCACGAAGAACUCCGAUUGCGAAGGCAGCUUACCAGUCUGCGACUGACGCUCAGGCACGAAAGUGUGGGUAUCGAACAGGAUUAGAUACCCUGGUAGUCCACACAGUAAACGAUGAGCGCUAGGUGUCCGGGUCGCAUGAGACUUGGGUGCCCGAGCGAAAGCGUUAAGCGCUCCACCUGGGGAGUACGCCGGCAACGGUGAAACUCAAAGGAAUUGACGGGGGCCCGCACAAGCGGAGGAACAUGUGGUUUAAUUCGAUGAUACGCGAGGAACCUUACCCGGGCUCAAACGACUCAGGAAUAUAUUGGAAACGAUGUAGCCAGCAAUGGUCUGAGUCGAGGUGCUGCAUGGUUGUCGUCAGCUCGUGCCGUGAGGUGUCGGCUUAAGUGCCAUAACGAGCGCAACCCCUACCGCCAGUUGCCAACGGGUAAAGCCGGGAACUCUGGCGGGACUGCCGGCGCAAGCUGCGAGGAAGGCGGGGAUGACGUCAAAUCAGCACGGCCCUUACGUCCGGGGCGACACACGUGUUACAAUGGCAGGUACAGCGGGAAGCCACCUGGUGACAGGGAGCGGAACCCGAAAGCCUGUCUCAGUUCGGAUUGGAGUCUGCAACUCGACUCCAUGAAGCUGGAUUCGCUAGUAAUCGCGCAUCAGCCAUGGCGCGGUGAAUACGUUCCCGGGCCUUGUACACACCGCCCGUCAAGCCAUGGGAGCCGGGGGUGCCUGAAGUACGUGACCGCGAGGAGCGUCCUAGGGCAAAACUGGUGACUGGGGCUAAGUCGUAACAAGGUAACC
rnacentral:rRNA from 1 species